GGAGCAGAAGACAAUGUUUGGCUCCUUCCUUCUUAUGUUAUCUAACAAUACAGCAUCAUUGUGGUUGAAAAGGUGGUGGGAACGGAUUGUGUAUUUUUCUGGAAAAGAUGGAAAACAAUACAGUCUGGACGUGGGUUUCCGCGACAAGGCUUGGGGUUACUCAUAAAUUGAUCCGUCAUCACCCACAUGGGUCAAGGUGAGUACCAGCAUGACACACUCCAUCUGUUCCCAAGCAAAUACACUUACCAAACUGAAAUUCCAUGUUUCAGGAUGCUUACGACAGCAACGUUUCUUGGCAAGUGAUUGGCGGAUGCAUAUUGUACAUCACAUCCUAACUGACUUUGGCAAGUAUUUACCCACGGGGUGGUGCAACAGCUUUGGAAGCGUGAUUGGGAGAUUUCUUUGACAAUAUUCUUGGCCUCUGGGUAAACCGGCCAGACUCCGUGGAGGAGGAGGAAGUGUGUGAGUUCACCUCAUGUGCGUAUCUUGUAGAUGCAACGUGUGUCUACACACUCCACACCAGCCUCUCCUCCCUUAAUGAUGCAUUCUCUCACUCGCCCGCUUGUGUCAACGUGAUUCACAGGCACGCUGACAUUUGAAUUGGUGUAAACACAGCAUGUUCAAAGGAUCUGUCUUGAUUCUAUUAAUGUGUCGCCGACUGUCGAUAGCCAUCUCUCACACGUGCAAACUCAUCUUUCACAGCUGAAGACCUUCUACAGUAUGUGGUCAGUGUGUGCUUUGGCCAACAAUGUACAUCAGGCCAGUGGGGAGACAAACCAUCAGAAGUUGCACUCAACGUUUAUUUUGAAACUUGGAAGGGUGUUGUGUGUGCAAGCUGUUUUUGUCUCAUUUGUUAACAAUGUAGACUUGAGAUCAAAUCCAAUUCUUUUUAGAAGCAGUGUGAGGUUGCGUAGAAUUGAAUGAAGCACAUGAAAUGUGGGUGUACAGAGCGUUGCAAGGUCCAUCCAGACUUUGUUGAAUUUUUGAGUCAUUCAACAUUAAGUUUUAGCAUCGUAUCACACUUGAAAAUUGACUCAAAGUGGAAUGAACCCAAUGACAAUAACCAGAUGCGCAUUUUCUAUAUGUUUGUUAAAAUGUUUAAUAAAAUGUCCACUUUGUUUUAUAUUAUGGUGUUACAAGGUGGUGUUUGUUAUAAAAGUUUGAGAACCACUGUUUUACAGUGCUGUGAGUGGUAUGGAGCAACCAAAACAUGAUGGACAUUCCAUUCAGUAUAGUUCGGCUGCGAUUGGCUGGCAACCAGUUGAGGGUGUCCCCCACCUACUGUCUGAAGAUGGCUGGGAUAGGCUCCAGCACGCCCGCAACUCUCGUGACGAUAAGCAUCUCGGUUCAUUGAUGGAUGCACAGUUUUGUUUUUCCAAUAGCAACCCUAAAAACAGAUGGAGACCAACACUGACGUUAGGUGUUAGGUUGUUGUUUCUAUUCUCAGCUUCUGACACUUUUGUUUCUAUUUCUGUCAUUGCUGUUGUGAAAGGCUCCAUCUGCAAUUUGCUACUGUAGGAGAUGUACACGCACUUACAUUCCAAGUGAUAGAAUUGACAGGUUUGCAUCGAUCUAACAUGUUGCGCAGCGGGGGCACAGUGAGAGACUUGGUCAGUGAAGUUGUCUGUGUUAUUUCUGGAAGCAGACACAACUUAUUGCUGCAGAGGAUCUUCUGUCCCCAAGAGUU